rnacentral:tRNA from 1 species
GUGGUUUUGACUCAACAGUAGAGUGCUCGCCUAGCACGCGUGGGACCCUGGGUUCGAUCCUCAGCACCACA